CGUCUGUAACGCACCUGUUUUUUAUGCUUAUCAAUCACAGUGUCACGGAUCUACCGCGCGGAACGCCAACCAUAUAGCUAGGUGGCGCAGAAUAAAUGGUGCCGUCGAUGCCGUGAAAGUGAAACAUGUCGGUUUCCCGGAUUGCAAUUGAGUCAGUGAAAGGUGUGUCAAGCUGCGUCCCUAUAUUUUCUCUACUUCAGCAGAGAGUCUGAAUCCGUCCGUUUGGUAUCACUUGGUGAUAAAAAAAUCGGAAAACUUUACACGUUUACAGCUUUCCUAUAUUCAUGAUAUAAAUUACUUCCCUCAUUUUAUUCAAACUUCUGUGAGCUAGAUAAAUAGCACAAAAAAUUGUCGAGUAUAAAGCUAUCGAGUCGAUGUUAGACUACACUUGUAUUU